rnacentral:tRNA from 1 species
AAGGGAGACCUAAUUCCGGUAGGAGACGAAAAAAAAAGUAGUCCCAACCAAGAAUCAAUCCCAAAAGGUCGGAACGAGGUAUGAGGCUUUCAAACUAGGUUCUGGGUUCAUAAAAGACCUGAAUCAGGAACAAGGGCUAUUAGCUCAGGUGGUUAGAGCGCACCCCUGAUAAGGGUGAGGUCCCUGGUUCGAGUCCAGGAUGGCCCACCUGCACAGGUGGCAAAAACAAGAGAAGCUCCGAAUCAGCACCUUAUCUUAUAUACAUAUAUAAGAGAGAAUGCUGGCUCUGAGUACAGAGUCCAGAGGAACCUUGAAAACUGCAUAGAGCUAGGUGAAAAAGCCAAAAAAGAAGACCGCAA